rnacentral:tRNA from 1 species
GGGGUUAUAGCUCAGUUGGUAGAGCGCUGCGUUCGCAAUGCAGAGGUCAGGGGUUCGACCCCCCUUAACUCCACCA